rnacentral:rRNA from 1 species
UACGUAGGGGGCAAGCGUUGUCCGGAUUUAUUGGGCGUAAAGAGCGUGUAGGCGGCCUGGAAGGUCAGCUGUGAAAACUCGAGGCUCAACCUCGAGACGCCGAUGGAAACCCCCUGGCUAGAGUCCGGAAGAGGAGAAUGGAAUUCCUGGUGUAGCGGUGAAAUGCGCAGAUAUCAGGAAGAACACCCGUGGCUAAGGCGGUUCUCUAGUACGGUACUGACGCUGAGACGCGAAAGCGUGGGGAGCGAACAGG